UCUGUAACUCCUCCUAUUCCAGUGGGUCUGAUGCUUCCUUCUGCCCUCUGCAGUCAUCAGGCAUACACACAGUGCACAGGCACAACAUGAGGCAAAACACUCAUAUACACAAAAUAAAUCUGUAAAAUAAAUUUUAAAAUUUCAGUGAGGUACAGUGAUUUUUAUAGGAUUAGAUUCCAAUUAGAGUCAGGGUUAGGUCUGAAUUUCUUUGAGACACAUGAUUUUGAAAUAUCCAUCCCUGGAUUGAAUUGCAAAGAGCUUACUGGUCAUUAAAUUGAGUCAAAUUUAGACUAGUGUUCCUUUUUUUUUUUUUAAAAAGAUUUAUUUUUAUUUAUGCAUGUUCGGCUAUGUGCACACGAGUACACAGGUGUGUUAUGUAUGUGUAUGCAUACGAGAGCAGCAGAUCAACUGACAUGGCAGCGCCAUCUCUGCAGCCCUGUAGUAUACUUUUGGUAUGUUUUUUAUGUUAAGAACUUUAGUUUUUUAUGUAUGACUUUUACCUGCAUAUAUGUAUGUGUAUCAAAUGUGUGCCUGGGGUAUGUGAAAUCAGAAGGUGUGUCAGACACACUUGAAUUGGAGUUACAGAUGGCUGUGAGCUAUCAUGUGGGCACUGGGAAUUAAACCUGGCUCCUCUGGAAAAGUGCUGCCCUUAAGGCUGAAUCAUCUCUCCAGCCAUGCCUUAAGAGCCUUAUUUUUAACAAGAGAUAGAGCAGGUGUGCUGGUGCCCUUUGAGGCAGAGUCGGGAGGGUCACUGAGUUUAAGGCCUGCCUGGUCUUCAUAGUUCCCAAGACAGCCAGGGUUAUAUAGAGAGACCUUCUCUCAAAACAAACAACAGGGAUUGUAGGGUGUAAAGUGUAUUUGAAGUUGUUAGGUUAGAACAGGAAAACUCUAGAAAAUAACUUUGAUUUUUGAGUUCCUGCCCCCACCCUCUGGCAUAAAUCUUUCAUGGGUCUCACAAUGUUUACUGCUUAAAUGACUGCUUAAAUAAUAUCUUCUUUUGACCCACAGUAAGUUACUUUUACAGUUUUUUCCCUCCCCCAGUUAUUCCCUGCCAUUGCUUCUUGUGCCUGCUUCCCCAUAUACUUAAAAAACAACAACAACAACAAAACCAUAGUUACUUUUCUGUGUAAGAGUAUUUGGUGGCAUGGAUGUAAGUGCAUCAUGCUCACACCUGGUAUCCAUGGAGGUCACGAGAAGACAUCUGAUUGAUCCCUUGGAACUGACAUUAGAGACAGUUAUGAGCCACUAUGUGCAUGCUAGGAACUGAACCCAGGUCCUCUGUGAGAGCAGCCAGUGCUCCCCUGAGUCAUCUCUCCAGCAACCACCCCUACCUUAUAACAUCCUCCUUUUGAGACAGGGUCCCUCAAUUUCCUAAUCUUAAAUGCCCUUUCAGCUCAGCCUCCACGAUAGUUGAAACUACAAGUCUGUGUCACCAUUGCCUGCUUUCUUCCUGCAUAUGACCUCUCCUCAGAGUUGGUGCUGUCAUUCUCUCCCAAGUCUAGGUUUCUCCUAAGAUUGUAAGUUUUACUGGCUUACAGCUUAUAGUUUGGAAUGUGUGACCAUGUGACAGGAAGCUCUUCAGCACUUCCCUUUAUUUGUUUGUUUGUUCAGGAUCCUGAAUACAGGAUCCUGCUCCACAGGUCAGGGUGACCUCAGACUUGAGCCCACCCACAUCAGCCUCCUGACUUGCAGGGACAGCUGGCACUGCCACCAUGACUGCUAAAAUCAGUUAGCCUCUUUCUCCUUUGGUUAAAAAAAAUAAUAACUUAAAAAAUAUUUUUUUUUUGUUGCUUAAAAUCUAAAAUGAAGUAAUAGUUCUUUAAAUUUUCAAAUCAAAUAUAUAAUUUGAGCUUUCAUUCUACCUAUCUCCCAACUACUCCUCUGGCUGGCCAGGGAGGAAGGGCUUCUUUUAUUACAUCAGAAUUCCUGGUUAAUAUCAUAGGCUCUCAAAUCAAAUUGUCUGGCUCUCUCAGCUAUCAAAUAGGUGGCUUUAUCAAUGUAUUUCAGCUCUCUGUGCCUCUGUUUCCUAACCUAAUAGAUCAUAUACUAGAUGUGGUUGACCUGAGGGUUGAAUGAUGUAAUGCAGACGAAAGACUUGUCCCACAGUCAAUUCUCAGCAGCAUACUCUUGUUACUGUCAUUGUCCUUGAGAGAGCCCCAGAACAUCAGUAUUUUGGAUGGUUGCUAUGAUUGUUUCCACAUGAGAUCGCUCUAGAAAACCAGCUAAUCUCUUGGGGAGAGUAUAGCCACCUUCCUCUCUUACUGGAGCUGCUAUGGCCUGACAUAAGCCACAGUCAUAUUUGGCAAGUCAGCGACCUUUAGAACAAGACCACCUGGGUCUGGGAUUUCCAUUCUCAGCUUUCUUUCCCUGUAGUUCAGGACCAGCUCUUCUAGAACAGCUGGAUCUCUUCUUUUCUCACCAUGUCUCCACUUUACAUCUACAACCAAGACAGGCUAAGUAACUAGUCCAAGACCAAACUCCUGCUCUUCUCCAUUCCUGAGACGGUACUUAGAAGCAGUCACUCUGUCCCUGGUGGUCUUUCUAAAUACUUUGCUUUAUGAUGCUGAAAUUUGUCGUCACUCCCCUUUUUGGCAUGGUAUUUUUACCUGCCUCUAGGCUAUCAGACUCCCUCACUCACCUUUGCAAGUACUCGCUCUUUCUUUAAAAAGCAUUUUAUUUUAAAAUAUGUUUAUUAAUUACUUAUUCUUUAAUUAUUUGUAUAUCUUUGAAAAUGCAAGUUCCCACAGAGGGCAGAAGAGGGAGUCCGAGCCUCUGGAGCUGGAGGAAGUUGUGAGCCGCCCCACUGGGUGCUGGGAACCAAGCUCAGAUCCUCUCUACAUAGCAACGAGCUCUCUUAACCACGGGCCCCUCACACUCAUUCUUAGUUAGUUGGCCUUACUGCCUCUACUGUGAAGACACUGGCUGGCUCUUAAGGCAAGGUUACCGCUGUCCUGCCUGACCUUCACACUUCUCUGUCGCUGUCCUUAGCAUGUGUAAUUGUCCACUUUCCACAGUGAAUCGCGUUCAUCUGUGAGCAGCCCUAACUAAAUUCAGUGGGUAUAGACGUCAGCAGCAACAGAAAGACAUGGCAUGGGAAAGGGCUUUCUUGCUAGGAAGAAGCGGGGAUUCAGCAGGAGUGGGAGGGGGAUGAGAGAGGGUAGUAUGGGGUGAAAAUGACCAAAAUACACUAUAUGCAUUUAUGAAUUUGUCAGAUAAGUAUUGUGUCUUGCUUGGACAACAUACCAUGUUUUAGGCCAGUCUGAGUUCAUGGUUAAGGCACUUGAGAAAAAAACCAAAGGCAGGGAGGUAGUUCUAUGAUAGGACCAUGUGUAGUAUCCAGAUGAUCUCUAUGAUAGGACCAUGUGUAAGCAUCUAGAUUAGCUCUCUGAUAGGAGUAUAGAAUGCUUAAGGCUUUGAGCUUGACUCCCAACACAAAAAGGAAGAAGAAAAGAAAGG
rnacentral:lncRNA from 1 species